AAAUUAAAAUAGCUAAUAUCCCUGUGUGGAGUCAUAGCACGGACACACACACACAAACACAAGUUCACUGCAUUCACAAGAUCACUUUGAUAAUGUCACAGCCCUUACAGUAGGCUGAAAUUGUCCCUAAAAGAUCAACCCCCUGCUGCUCUGAGCUAGCAUCCUCAAAUUAGCAUGUGCGCAUGCAUGUGUGUGUGUGUGUGUGUGUGUGUGUGUGUGUGUGCUCCUUUAAGGCCGACAGUGAUGAAAGCUGCCUGCGGCGACAAGACAAGCUUUACCAUGACACAAAACACACCCUGGAGGACUGCAGACACCCUGCUGCUCAGGGGUAAAAGAGGGAUAGAGGGAUAGAUGAGGAGGAGAAGAAAAGAAAAAAAGAGUAUACAAGUGGAAGAUGGAGGCUGACGAGGGAGACAUACGAAUGGAGAGAGUGCUGCGCUGAGAAGGAGAGACUGAGAGGACAGGGAUGUUACUGAAAUAUUUUGGCGCAACCUCCACUGCACAAGGACCAUCUACCUUGUCAGCUGACAUGACUGCUGCUGAGGGAACAUCGUCAGAGACUUCUGGGACAUCUACGCCCUCCUCUGACGAGACUGCAGCUGCAGAGAUCAUAACUGAGGAUGUGCAUACACCACCAAUGCUGUUUUGACCACAAAUGAGAAAAUACAGAAGGCCAAACUAUUCCAACAGGUAAAAUAAAAGCCAUUGAUGAUGGUAAUGUGUUAUUAUAUAUACUGCAUGUUUGGUUGGCUUUUGCCUUUUAUGUUGCAACUUUACAUGAAAUUUAAUAUAAUUUUCUAAGACUGGCAUCAAAUUAAAGCAAAGAUUUUUUGUAUCUACUACGACUAAUUUCUCUUUGGUGAUCAGCUUCUCUGGAACUUGUAACAUUUCUCAGCAACUAAAAAACUGUCAAUGUUAAACCAAAUAAAAAUAUUAAUAUCAAUGUCAUUCACAGAAAAUGCAAACAAACCUGUCAAACUGGUAUUCAGUGGCAUGCUGAGCUGUGCUAAAUUGUGCAUGACCAUCUUCCUGACUUUGCAGUGGCUUUUAAUCACACUAUUUAAUUAGUGUUUAUCCAUUUAGACACAUUGCCUGAGUGUCUUGGCUUUUUGUUACACAAGUGAAAUAUGCCCUUGUUACAUGAAGUCAUUUCCCAUGCUUGCCAGUAAAGGAAGAGUAAUUAACACUAAUUUUUAUUCAUUUAAUUUAAUUGGAGAGGUAAACAUACAGCCAGUAGUGGAUCUUGUAAAAGGCUCCAUGAGAUGAAAGGAAGGAAUAGGGGAAAGGAAAGGACAGAGGGAUGGUGCAAUGGUGAAUAGUGAACUAGCGAAGUCCAAAGGAAUGGAGGGUUGGAAGAGAAAACAGUAUGUUUAGUAGACAAAAAAAUAG